CGUUCUUCGGUGCUCCUCCGGGACGAACAGUAAAGGCACAUGAAGGUAUUGGCUCUUACUAUCGAUCGGAUGGAGAGAACGGGAGGCAGCAGUGGGGAAUUUUCUGCAAUGGACGAAAGCCUGACGGAGCAAUGCCGCGUGGAGGUAGAAGGCCCACGGGUCGUGAACUUCUUUUCCCGGAGAAGAAGCAAUGACGGUAUCUUGGGAAUAAGCAUCGGCUAACUCUGUGCCAGCAGCUGCGGUAAUACAGAGGAUGCAAGCGUUAUCCGGAAUGAUUGGGCAUGAGGGACUUGGUAAUUGAACCAUCAGAUAACUUAUAGU
rnacentral:ncRNA from 1 species